rnacentral:rRNA from 1 species
AGGAUGAACGCUGGCGGUCUGCUUAACACAUGCAAGUCGAACGGAGUAGCAAUACUUAGUGGCGGACGGGUGAGUAACGCGUGAGAAUCUACCUUCAGGACGGAGACAACAGUUGGAAACGACUGCUAACCCCCGAUGUACUGAAAAGGCAAAUAUUUAUAGCCUGAAGAAGAGCUCGCGUCCGAUUAGCUAGUUGGAGAGGUAAAAGCUCACCAAGGCGACGAUCGGUAGCUGGUCUGAGAGGACGAUCAGCCACACUGGGACUGAGACACGGCCCAGACUCCUACGGGAGGCAGCAGUGGGGAAUUUUCCGCAAUGGGCGAAAGCCUGACGGAGCAAGACCGUGUGGGGGAAGAAGGGCUCUUGGGGUUGUAAACCCCCUUUUUCUCUGGGGAAGAACGACAAUGACGGUACCAGAGGAAUCAGCAUCGGCUAACUCCGUGCCAGCAGCCGC